UCCUAGCCCUGAUGGAAAUGGAAAGCCACGAAAGGCAAAACAACAUUUUUUUCAGGGGUUAAAAAGCGACCAGCGGAAGCUCUUUUAAGGCCGUAGAAAAAAAGUUGUUUUGCCCGAGUGCUUGUAAUGUACAGCAGGAAUAGCU
rnacentral:sRNA from 1 species